rnacentral:lncRNA from 1 species
GGUUAAUCACUUUCAGCUUUUCUUUCGAAAUUCAACAACAUGAUGAAGAGCUCUUUUCGGCUCGAACGAUCUUUUUUUCGCUUGAUAGAAAUAUCAUAUCAUACAUAAGAGAAGAAAGCUGCUAGCAGAGGGUGGAGAAGUGCCACACCUUCGUGGAUUGCUCGAGUGUUGCGUACUAAUUCUUAUCGAGAUUGGGUUGGUGUUCAGUGUGGGCAGUCUCCUCUAUCAAAAUAGUAAGAGAAGAAGAAGGACUUCUCUCAGAUCUUUACGUUUCACAUUGGAAUUUCUCCUAAUUGGAAUUCCUCUCCUAUGUUCUCAAAACCCGUUGCCUUUUUACUGGAAUUUUCUGCGAUCCUUUUUUCUACUAUUUUAGCGAUUAUGCUUGAGAUAAAACUCUUUAGAUGGUGUUUUCUAUUGUAUAAUUAUUUAUUGUCCGAGUUGGAGUUAGAAAUACAUCAGGAUUUCGUGUGCUUACUUAUAUUGCUUUUGGUUUUCGUAUCAUGGAUCUUGGGUCGCACUUUAUGGCAUUUCCACUAUAAAAAGAAUCCAGACAUUUCUCGUGUACCUAUUAUGGAAAGCGUUUGGACUCUGUCUCUUUUUCUUUCGUUCUCUUUUUUCUUUUCAGAAUUGUUGUUAGAAACGGUAGACUGCGCAGGAAAAGAUUCGGGUGGGGGAGCGUCUACUUUCUCUCCCAAGCCUGAUGAAUGGGAAAUGGCACUAGAUCUACCAGAUAAUCAAGUUGCACCGGAAUGUCUACGCUCCCAUAUUAAAGAAAAGAAGAGUUAAGAUACCUCUAAAUAUCGGGUGAAAGACGACCCUUUCCGAUGCGAUGUUUGACAACUUUAUUUCCCCCUUGGCCUUAGAUGAGGCAAAAAUGGGUUUUGCAAAAGCUAUCCUUGAAAGAAUAAAUAAACUUCAAUUAUUUCAUUACAAUAGAGGGGAUCACAUUCCCUUUAAAUUCUCCUCGAAAAAGGAGAAAGAAAGACUCCUUUCUAUUGUCUAGGAGUGGACAAAUUACCCGACGAAUAAUAGGUACCCAAACCCUAGGCAGAGUUAGUGAGCCAUGUAAUAGGCGACCAUUUCGCACGGUUUGGGGGCCACUUGAGUCAGCCGCCAGCGCCCACCAGCGUCUUGACCCCCAUCCAAUUUUUGGGCCAAUUCCCCCUUCGUACUACCAAAAAAUGAGAUUCUUGCCGAACCUAGUUUGCUUCUCUAACCAUUACCAAACUAAUACCUAUUCCGUUUAGUACUUCAGGUGCUUAUGUUGCGUAUAAUGUUAAUCCCGUAGCGGAUCAAUUCCAACGAGUCUUUCAAAUUAGUACUAUUAGUAAUCGACUCUAUAGCUUCUUCAAUAAAUGCUGGUUUUUCGAUCAAGUUUUGAAUGACUUUCUAGUCAGAUCGUUCCUGCGUUUCGGAUAUAAAGUCUCCUUUGAAGCUUUAGACAAAGGUGUUAUUGAGAUAUUGGGCCCUUAUGGUAUCUCGUACACAUUCCAAUGAUUGGCCGAGUGAAUAAGUCAACUUCAAAGUGGAUUUGUUGUGCGAAGAGUGCGUUAUGACCCGUGGCCGCCUGCCUGGUGGGGGCAGCUCCUCCAUUGUGGGUAAAUGGGAAACCUGACUCUACGAACCCGAGGAAAGGCUGCACAGCAGUAGUAGGGGCAUUAAUACCGGUGCUUUUAGCAAGAAUCCAAGUGAAUAAAUCCCAUCCCCUAGCGAGUGAAGUGCUUACGCCCCUUUAGAGAUAGGGGCGAGCAAAAGAGCUAGUUCUUCCAUUUUGAGAUCUUUAUAUUCGUAAGAUCAUAAUAGAGUCCCUUUACUUUCUAUUACAUUAGUCAAGAACUAGCGCCCUACAGCUAGUAUAGUAUAACAGAGCAGCCAGCUUCAAAGCUUACCGGAAAUAAAUAAGAAGUAUUCUAAAAAAAGAGAAAGGUUAGGGGGCUAAGAAGCUCUUGGUUGCUGCUUCCUAUCUACUUCGUGAGCCUUCACUGCCCCGUUCUGUAACUUCCCUUCUUUCAUCCGUCCACAAGGCUGUAAAAAGAGAGAAAGGGGCGGUUAUCUAGCGGGAGUCGUUUCAGUUGUAUGCCACGAGGUCCCUAUGGACAAGGGGACAAGUGAAUCAUCACUUUUGGGCUCAGGUAGCCCUCUACCAUCUAUCCCAUUGCAUUCCAUCGUCUCAUAUUGUACUGUGCCGUAUCAAACCAGAUAGAUCUAUUGAGUGAGAGAAAGGGAGAAAACUCUAAUUAGAUAUUCUUUUUAUAUUGAUAGGGAUCCCAUUCAUUCCUAGAUUCCCAUCACUACGGACUUAUUGUCCCUACCUAACUACAUGGUAGUGAUCUAGGGAGCGCAAUUGCUAGAGCACGGGAGAAUGCUGAGUAAUGAUUUCAGCAAAAGCAGCUAGACGGACUACUAUAGUGAGUCUAGUGACUACUAGAGUAGAGUUAAGUCAAAAAAGUAUGGUAUAGCAGCCUUUCCGAGCAACCCUCUAGGAUCUACUAUAAACCUCCAUGAUGUGGUAAAGGGAGGAUAUUAGGGGAAGCAGUGAGUGGAGAUUCCCCUGCAGAGAGCUGGAUGAGGGGAGACCCUCACGUCCGGUUCGGAGGGCGCCCUCCCCCCCCCUCCCCCCCCAAAAAAAUAGUUUCUCAUGAUCUAUCUAAUUCUCAGUUAGUAAAAAAAGAGAGUUUCUCAUGUUUCUUGUUGUUUUUGAGUCUUUGUAAUCUAUUUUUCAUUGUAAGCCUACUUUUUCGAGAGAAGCUUGUGUAGACAUUUAUUUUAGUGAGUAUUUAUUUUGUCAUGUGAAAGAUGUAUCAGCUAGAAUUAGUUGAUAGUUGUGCUAGAGCCAGUCAUGCAUGUAUCAAUUAGAGUAAUUAGUUGGUCAAGCAAAUUAGCAAUAGAGUUAUUGUAUGUUAAUAGAGUUGUUGCAUGGAUGUAGUGAUUAAGAGUUUAAUCCUAAAGAUUAUAAAAGUUUGUAAUCAACGUUGUUUGAAGUUAGUAAAAUAAAAAAAAACUACAAGAUAAAUUAUGAUUUUACUCCCUUGAUCUAUGAUACGGGUGUACCAAGCUGUCCAAUAAGUUCACGACCAUUCACACGUAGCCAAGCUUGGGAGUUACAAAAACUCCAAGCUAUGUUCAUGCAAAUGGCCGUGUGUGAGUUGGUAAUUGAGACUCCCAAUGGAUUAAAUAUUUUUAAGUGUGAAGAGGAGCCUUGAAGUGUAAUAAACUUAGACUCCAAGGCCACCCCUUGGCAAGGGUAGGAUGGUCAUUUUGUUAUCUCACUUUGUGGACUAAUAUAAAUAGACAGUGUUAGGGUUAUUUUGAGUAGUUCAUUCAUAUUUUGAAAGACAACAAGCACUUGUAAUACUGUGGAACUUCUCUCUUCCAUUGGAGAAGCCCCAAUUUUGAAAACUCACUAGUAGAGUGAUACUAGUGUUGUCUCUUGGCUAGAAACUAGGAUCUUGGGGUUCUUUGAGUUCCUCUUGGUCUAAGUAAGAACUUUGUAUUGAAAUUCAUUAAUUAGGGUCCUUUCUCUUGUUAGGGUUCUUAGACCAUUGAAUAUUGUGUGUCAAGUUACUAUCCCUCUUGUAAUCUUGUUUAUCUUGUAUUGUUGGAAUAUUGAAGUCUAGUGAAGCCGUGUGGGGCUCUUUUGAUUCACUAGUAUUAUUAUUGACUUGCUGGUUCUUGUGUUAAUAUCAUCUUCUUGUUCUAAAAACGUGACUCUUGAAGACUAGUGAAGCUGUGUGUGGCCUAUCGAUUCACUAGCACUUGUUGUUCAUCUUAUUGUUCUUGUUGUUGUUUGUUUCUUGUGUUGUGAACUUGAUCUUGUAUCAUUUGGUAUCAAAGCUUAUUUUUGAUUUUGUUCCAACAAAAUCAAUCUUGGGCUUGGUAGUUGAAAAAUACAAAAAAAAAAGUUGCUGAAAUCUGAAAAUUCCAAAAUAAAAAAGAAAUCUGUCCAUCUUAUUCUUGGCUGAGAAAAUUGUGUUGCGUUGUUGUCUUGGCCGAGAAUGGUGUUUGUGUGUUUAGAUCUAAAUGUUCUUUUAUUUUUCUAGUUUGUUUCUUGUGUUGAUUUCUUUCUCAUCAACACAAAAGGUUUCUAAAGCUAAAUUCAGCUUAACAUAUUGACAUUGCUAUUGUGGACUUGAAGUGGUAGUAUGAUGAACUUGAAGUAGGCUGAGUUGUGUGUUGCUGUUGCUUGACGUUUAAAGUGGGUUGUUGUUGGUAAAUUGUGGUUGUGUUCUUGAAAGAGGAAUGGAGGAAUGCCAAUUCAGGGGACGAGAUGGUGCUACUCUGCUGUGCAUGAUAUGAAUACUAAAUAGGAGCUACCUCCGCUUGGCACAAUUUAAUGUAAUACUGACAAAGAUAAAUCAUUUUUAAUAGUUUGAUAAUAUAUUUAAGCAUUUUCUCAUAUAAUAAUAUUGACAAUCCAAAACCAUAUAAUAACAUCUAGAAAUCGUCUGUGAAAUAUCUACUACAUGAUUUCUAACACAAUCUGAAAACUGGGACAAGGCCCUAGUAGACCAAAACCAUAUCUAAUAAUAGUUGUCUGAAAGUAAACAACCCUUCUCAAAUAAAGAAGGCUCACUAAUUGGACACUGCAACUUUGUUUGAUAAAAUCUACUGCUUUUCUGGACCCCUAGACUGAGCCUCGGAACUUGGAGGGAGGAGGGGGGUCAAUAAUUAUCUACUAGUACAUAGAGAAAUCUAAAAUAAAGCUUUUAUAUAAAUAAAAUAGUCGGAGAGCAAUUUGUCAAAAUAUCAUGCAUGAAAUAGUUCUAAAACACCUGGGCACUUUCUGAAAAUCAUAAAUCAUUACUAUCAAUGCAAUGUCUGACCUUUGAAUUACUUCUGAGUUAGGUGGCACUCCCCUACAAGUCUAAUAUUUCACGGGCUAUAUGGAAUCUUUCAUUGACUCGGCGAGAAAGCCCCCAACCCGAGUGUGCCGCAAGGGUUGGAGUGUCAGAGUCUGAUAUGCCAUAAAGCUCUAGUCCAGCAUAGUAUAAUAAAUCCAGAUCGACAAAUCAUGAUUUUGGGCAAUGAGUUGUCACACCAAGACUUGGAAGUCCUAUUUCUGAGCCAUAAUGCAUGGUGCAUAAUUCUUUCGUUAAAGCACAAUUCAGACCAUCCAAACAUGCAAACAGUAUAAAAGAUUUCAUGUUCCGAAAAUACAAGUCAAUACUAUUCAAGAAUACUUCAAACAUGUGGUGGUCAUGUGCUUUUAGCAAAACCAUGCACUCUUUCAUUAUAUGUAUUUUCAAUAUUUAUCAACAUGCAUAACCCUCUCUUUUGAAAUCAAAAUCAUAAUCCAAAUAUAACAUUAGUCAAGACAUUUCAUAACAUGCUUUUCAAGAUGCAUUCAAAUGAUUUCAUAGUAUAUCAUAAAUAAAUAAAAAUCAUCACAAGAGCAGGAUUUUUCAUGAAUCAUGCUCUCAAUUCAAUCAUCAACAUUGAAACAUAUGCUUACAAUAUAUAUAUAAUUUCAAAUCAAUUUAGGGGAAGGACUAAAGACCAGAACAAUAUCAUCAAUUCUUCUAAAACAUGAAAAUGUCCAUAAAUCCGAAACCCCUUUCUAAAAAUCAUGAUCUCUAUGCCCAUGAGAUUUUUAGGAAAACCCUGUGUACCUUAAAUUAGAAGCUUUUGAAUGAACUCUAGCUUUUGGGAUGCUAUACGUACGAUUGGUGGGAUUAUCUUGUAGCCCUCGCAAUGGGGAUUACCAAUCUUGAAGAAUUAUUGAAAAGCCACGGUUAAAUCUUGAGAUAUAAUGAUCUUUGCGUUAAAACCCUAAGGAGUGUUCUUGGUGAUUUUGGGAGAAAGUAAUGUUAUUUUGGUGCUUGGGGAAUUUAAUCCCAUGUUGAGGUUGAUAAGGGCUUGGAAAAUACCUAAUAUACCCUUAAUGGAUAGGAUGAAAAACUGAAAAUUUGGCCCAGCCGGACUUCCUAGGGCGGCGCCCUGCCUAGCCUGGGGGAGUACCUUGGGUGGUGCCCUACCUAUCCCGGGGGACUACCCUGGGCGGCGCCUUGGCUAGUCCGGGGGGUUACCUAGGCAACACGGGCUAAUAGCCUUUUGCUACUAGUUUGGUGGCCCAAACACCCCCUUACGCUACUUGAAAAAUUCCAAAACUUGUUCGCGAUGUACUAUGAGCUUGCCCGAUCGUAACGCAACUUAAAAAUCAAAAAUCGAAUGUCGGGAAGGUCAAAAAUAAAAUCCUCAAAGAUUGGAACCUAAAAAUGAGACUAAGUCUCUUUAACACUUAAAAAUUUUUUCAAGUUUUUUCAGCUCUUUGAGCAUACUACUAGAGGCUAACACACGCAUGAAAUUUACGGGGUGUUACAAAUGGUUUGAGGAACAAAUAAAGAGAAACCUGAAAAUGAAAUUGGAGUAAGCAUUCAUUAUUUUGUGGAGCUUAUGGAUAGCUAAAAACAAUCUAUGUUGGAACAAUAAGAAAAGUACGCCCACUGCCACUUUAUACCUUGCAAAGAAGGCGCUGGAGGAAUGCCAAUUUGGGGACGAGAUGGUGCUGCUGCUGUUGUGCAUAAUAUGAAAACUAAAUGAGAGCUACUUCUGCUUGGCACAAUCAAAUGUAAUACUGAUAUCUCUUACGAUAUCCAUAUUGCUUUGGCGGGGGUAGACAUGGUGCUACGUAAUCACUUGGGUCAAUUCAUUGCUAGAAAAACUAUGUUCCUUGGUCGUGUUGCUGGCCCUUUAUUGGCCAAGAUCAUAGGGGUGUAUGAGGCUGUCACUUGGUUAAAGGAGCGAUUGAGUACAACGAAGUUGACUGUGGAAACUGAUAAUUUACUUGUGAAGCAACUCUGGAAGAAAAUUUGGUCAAUUACUCUUAUUUUGAUUCUUCUUGUCUUUGAUUGUAAAACUCUUCUCAAAGAGUUGCCAUUUUUUCCUAGUCGAAUGUUAAGAAAUCAACGGAUUGCUCAUUGUCUUGCUAGAGCAUCUGCUUCUAUGUCUGGUUCAAUGGAGUGGGAUACUAACGCUCCGUCUCUGAUACUAAUGUACUCGAGUUUGAUUUGAAUUAUACAUGAUGAAAAACCCAUUGCAAAAAAAAAAAAAGAAAAAAAAAUUAAAUGUGUUCAGUCAUACAUUAUAAACCAAAAUCAGAAUUUACUAAUGACCGAAAGAUAAAAAAAAGUUAUUCUUGAAAAAUAAAUUAAUUAACAGUUAAAAGGAAGAAGGGAAAUGGACCAUAAAUAGAACUCCGUUUAUAAAUAUGUUUGCAAACUUUAAUUAGUAUCAAUGGCCAAAAAAAGAAGAAGAUGAUAUCAGCAUAUGCAAAUACUUUUACAACGAAAAAAGGACUUGAUAGGUAAUCUUGAAAGAAUUUCCACUACAAUUACCCUUGGAAGAUCCAGAAUUGUGGCUUCACCGAUUCUUGUAUUCUGCUUGGAACUAAGCAUUGGGUUUAAAAUAGUGAAUGGAACAUCAAAAAAUUUGGAUUGCUUUUUUAUCACGAUAAGCUAAGACUCCUCGUCAGGAGUCUAAGCAGAACCAAGUGGAAGAGUUCCCAUUGUUUUGCCAAUUUGAGAACUCAAAAUCUUUUUUACUUGGGUGGCGUCGCUCUCUAUUGCUCUUUCCGUGGAACUUUUUCUCCGUUUUUUAGAGUCAGGCAGGAUAAUAUUUCUGGUCCAAGUAAAGCAGCAUGAUUACAUUCUUGGCAGCCUUACUGUAAUACUCGUCCUGUUGCUUCUCCGCCUGCUGGAAAUUUGUUUUCAAAGUUCCUCCAAAGCACGUACUUUUUCUCAACCGAGAGAUUGGUUGAUGUAACAUAUACGCGAAGGGCAUCCACAAAAACUGAAUAGUUUUUAGGGAGAAACACUUCAUUCAAAGGCCUUAUAAGUAGCUUCUGAUACUACUUUUGGAACUUUUAGGGGGCGGACCCUUUGUUUUUGUUAGAAAUUGAGCAGAAAUAAACCAAACCACAAGCAGAAAGAAAACAAGAACAACACACAAGAUUUACGUGGAAACCCUUGCGGAAAAAAUCAUGGGCAGAGGUAGAGGACUAUGAAAGGAGAGGAGUACAACGUGGAGCGACGUAAUUUCUGAAUAAUCAAAAUUGACUCACUAAUUGCACUUAUAUAAUACGUGCAUACAAAUAAGUCCUGGGCCCAAAAACAUACAAAUAAGUGGUGGACCACCAUAGACCCCAUUGAAAAUCACAAGAAUGGGUCGCACCGCGAAACUUUCUGGGCCGGAUCAAUAAAAUUCAGGUCACAACUCUAACCGUUAUCCUAACUUUUCUUUCUGUUGGGCCCACCAAGGAUAGGCAUUCCGACCAAAAGGGGCUUCUAGUCUUUCCUAUUAGAAUGUAUUGGUUUGACCGAAUCCUAGGUGAAAGAGACUUAUUGUGCGUGAUACCCAUCACUUCUCACCUGCAACAAGUAAGCAAUUUCAUAAUAUUAAGAGGAAACUGGUAGGGUUUGGAUCAGUUAUUUUUGAGAGAAGUUUAAUUUUUAAUAUUGAUCGAUUUGGAUUUAGUGAAUGUGGACCUCCAAUUAGAGACCACGUGACAAAAGUAGUUUUACAAAACCACCAUUAAAAAGUAAUGACAUGAAAAAAUCGUUUUGUAACGUUACUAACAUCGAUGAGUCAAACUUUAAUAAAUGACAAAGAUAAAUCAUUUUUAAUAGUUUGAUAAUAUAUUUAAGCAUUUUCUCAUAUAAUAAUAUUGACAUUUAAGUGGUAGUUUAAGAGUUGAAAUUUAGUUGGGACUUUAAAUACUUUCGUUAAUCUCAACCAAAUCAUGACUAAACGCUUGGUCAGAGCCUAUAUUGACACUAAUGAUAAUACAAUUUCCAAAAAGGGAAGUGCAGGCGGUGUACCUCGCAACUCCGAGGGUGUCUGGCAGAUGGCCUUUGCAGCUUCGAUCAACAUGAAUUCAACCUUCGAAGCUGACGCUACUUCUCUGCUUAUGGGACUUCAGAUGGCUGCUAAAACUAAAUACUCCAAUCUAAUAGUCAAAACUGACUCACUACAUCUCUUCAAUGGAAUCAAUUCCGAUUGCACUAAUGAUUGUAGACACCUAAUUUUGUUCCUCCCGAAGUCUAAUUUUAUUCAUUUUUAACCCCAUGUAAUUAUAUCCCACAAAAAUACAAAAAUAAACCAAAAAACAAUACCUCUAACUACUUUAUCUUAUCCUAACAACCCACCCAAUCAAAAGCUUCCACCGCCCUACCCACUCACAUUUUUUAUCCCUUAGAGAAGAAAACAACAAAAAUAGAGGGGCCCACGUGAUAUCUUCUUGACCAUCAUUUACACAUCACCUUCACAAUAUACAUAUAUUCCAUACACACCCAGAAUAAAGNNNNNNNNNNNNNNNNNNNNNNNNNNNNNNNNNNNNNNNNNNNNNNNNNNNNNNNNNNNNNNNNNNNNNNNNNNNNNNNNNNNNNNNNNNNNNNNNNNNNNNNNNNNNNNNNNNNNNNNNNNNNNNNNNNNNNNNNNNNNNNNNNNNNNNNNNNNNNNNNNNNNNNNNNNNNNNNNNNNNNNNNNNNNNNNNNNNNNNNNNNNNNNNNNNNNNNNNNNNNNNNNNNNNNNNNNNNNNNNNNNNNNNNNNNNNNNNNNNNNNNNNNNNNNNNNNNNNNNNNNNNNNNNNNNNNNNNNNNNNNNNNNNNNNNNNNNNNNNNNNNNNNNNNNNNNNNNNNNNNNNNNNNNNNNNNNNNNNNNNNNNNNNNNNNNNNNNNNNNNNNNNNNNNNNNNNNNNNNNNNNNNNNNNNNNNNNNNNNNNNNNNNNNNNNNNNNNNNNNNNNNNNNNNNNNNNNNNNNNNNNNNNNNNNNNNNNNNNNNNNNNNNNNNNNNNNNNNNNNNNNNNNNNNNNNNNNNNNNNNNNNNNNNNNNNNNNNNNNNNNNNNNNNNNNNNNNNNNNNNNNNNNNNNNNNNNNNNNNNNNNNNNNNNNNNNNNNNNNNNNNNNNNNNNNNNNNNNNNNNNNNNNNNNNNNNNNNNNNNNNNNNNNNNNNNNNNNNNNNNNNNNNNNNNNNNNNNNNNNNNNNNNNNNNNNNNNNNNNNNNNNNNNNNNNNNNNNNNNNNNNNNNNNNNNNNNNNNNNNNNNNNNNNNNNNNNNNNNNNNNNNNNNNUGAAUGUUUGAUGUUAUUCACGUGAAAUUCGUAUGAUUAUCAUGCUUUAAUUGUCGUUGGGUCUUUGUUGUUUAUAUUGUAUUCCGAAUUGAAAAAUUGAGUUGAUAGUCAAAGCAUGUGUUAAUUUUGGUUGAAAAAGGAUUUCGGGGGUGGGAAUAAGAAGUUGUUAAAAAGUUGAAUGUAGUUAAAUUUUGGACCGUUGUCGUUUUAUUUAAUUCGGAUUAAGCAUGAAUUUGAUAGAAUCAUUUAAAAUCAAAAGUUUGAUAGGAAACAUAGGUCGGGUAGGCGAAUUUAGGGAUUGUGGAUUGAUGGAAUAUUCGAUUUGUGUGAUUGAAUGGUUCUUGGCUAUAUUGCUUAGGGAUCACUUGUAUCAUUUGGCCGGGGAAUACCCCGAAGUACCUGUAUUAUUUUUAUCCAGGAAAUGCCCUGAGGUAUUUUCUAUUCGGAGGACGUCCGUGAUGAAGGCCCGAGGCAUCGGGUAAAGCAUAGGAGUAGUUUAGGAUUAGUUUAGAAUAGAAUAGGUUUACAUUUUCGCAUUUUUCAUUUUUCGGGACAGUAUAAUUGGACUGGACAUUAUAUUUUGGCUUAUUUUGUUUUGUUUGCUUGAGUGAUUGUUUUUGCGCGCUUUGUGUGGUUUAUGCAUUUGUAAUGUCAAUUUAGCCGAUACGCUCUGCCAAGCGACCGUUGUCAAACCACGGGAUCGAGGGGUGCCUAACACCUUCCCCUCGAUCAACAGAAUUCCUUAGCCGGAAUCUCUGUUCGCAAACUAGUAUUAAAGAGUCAAAACCAUUUUGAAAAAGGAUAUCCAUGGGUGACUUGGCACACCCGAUUUAUGCUAAGUGGCGACUCUGAGUUUUGAUUGUUAAAAGUCCUUUUCGAAACAAAUUUUCAUCUUUGUCACUUUAAUAAUAAAAAUCCUUUCGAAACUUAAAAUGAAUCUUUUUGGGAGUUAAACGUGAAAAAGGGGUGUGACAAUGAUAAUAAUGAUAAUAAUUUGAUAUGUCUCUGUAGGACUCUGCUACAGAGAAUGAGGAACGUGCAGGGUCUCCAUGAAGAUCGAAGUGCAAAUGCUACUGCGGAUAGGCUAGCAAAGUAGAGCAAUAAGUUAGCUCUGGACUCUUUUUGUAAAGAAUGGACAGUUCCCCCAUUGUUUAUUCGGAACCAGUUGGAAGAAGACAAGGAGGGAACUCCUUCUGCUGUUCUAUGUCCAUCCACCUCGUUGGAUGUUUGUAAUCGUACUAGUUGUCAUGUUAUAAGUGCUUGUAGCUUUAGGGAUGAUCCCUCCGAAACUGGCCACUUUGGCUCCUAUGUGUACUAACUAAAGUUCUGAACUUUUAGUAGUAACGAAUAAAAUUCCAUGUUCACCCAAAAAAAAAACAAAAACAAAAAAAGAUAGCCUAUAUUGACAGAUUUUUUAGAUUGGCUUGUUUAAAAUUUGUGUUUUUAAAAAAACAAAAAAUAAUUUAACUUACUUUUAAGAUUUAACUUAAUUGUUAGCUGUGCUUGCAUUUGCUUUUUUUAAAAAAUAAAAAACGAAAAAUAUAUUCAAAUGUAUGUUUAUGAAUUAAGUAUAGCAUAAUUUUUUUUAUUUUUCAUUUUUUUCAUUUUUAUCCCUUUUUAGGAAAAACGCGAAUUUAACUUGGCAAACCUAUAUAUUACUACUACUGGGUAAAACUUACAUGCACUUUGUACAUACCAAGCCAAUUCAUGUAUGUCAUUGUUUGAAUUUAAAGUUCAUGUUACUUAAUCAUGAUUAAUCAAUAUGUAUUUUACUUAAUUUAAUUACAUAACCAUGAUAAAGAAUAUUAAUUUGGUGUAUACACCGGGUGUAUGUAAGUUUUUACCCUACUACUAGUAUUGCAUAAGCCCCCAAAAAAAAUGUUUUAGCACAACCAAGAAAGCAAAGGCCAAUUUCAUCUUUUUUUCCAAAUUUAUUUUCUGGUAAUGUAUUCUUUUUCUUGUUUCUGUCAAUGUUUCCAUUUUUUUUCCCUUGUUUCUUGAUAAUCUUUUUAUUCAUUGCUGUAAAAUGUUAGGGUUUUGUAAUUUGGCGUUUGGAUUUGGAGGGAAGGGGGGAAGAGGGGGGGGGGGUUGCCUCAACUAAUUUCUUACUCCCUCAGUUCCGUUUCAUAUUAGUUGACCUUUUUCGAAAAAUAUUUGUUUCAAUUUAGUUAUCUAAGCUCUAACAUUAAGAAUAUUUUAUACAUAUGCUUCCCAUUUUACGCUUGUUAGGAAAACUAAAUAAUGCCUAAAUGAUCUCAAUUCUCAAAAUUAAAUUAAAUGAUUAUUAGUAGUUUCAGUUAUAAAUACUCAGUGUUGUAGACGUAGUGCAUGAGAUGGGGUAAAUAUGCACCAAAUUUUAAUGUUUAAUCAUUGUAUUGAUUAUUGGAUUUUAAAAGGCAUUGAUUAUUGAAUUUUAAAAGGCAUACAAGGGUAAAUAUGUAAAAUGUGUUUUUAUUUAUUAGUAUCUUAGCGGGUGUAUCAAGUAAAUAGGGGUCAAUUAAUAUAAAAUAGAGGGAGUAGUUAAAUCGACCUAUUAAAUAACAACAAUGACAACAACAAAUUCAGUGCAGUUACACUAGUGAGGUCUAGAAAGGGUAGGAUGCAGGCCGACCCUUACCCUACCUUUGUGUGGUGUUGGUUAGAAAUGUUGUUUUUGAUAGACUCUCGGCUCGACAUAAAGGGAAAAGAAUUUGAAACAUGGUAGCAAGAAAAUAUUACAAUAAACCCAUCCGGUUGGACUACGCUGAACCUGAGGUCUCAGGUUCAAAUAUCAGCAAAGACCAAAAAAAAAAAAGAAAAAACAAAAAUACUAGGUGAUUCUUCUCAGUUGUCCCAAGUAGCCUUGGUGGACAGAGUAACCUCAUAUAUGUUGACGCUGGGAGGUGGCCUGUGGAUUUAGUCAGGGUGCGUAAAAAUUGGCUAGGACACUAUAGUUAUCCAAAAGGAAAAAGAAAAACCAUCCGGGUGGCUGUGAUGGUUUGGUUUGGGACUUCCAUAAUGGAGGUCUCAAGUAUUAAGUCCCUUGUCUGUGAUAGCAGAGGGUAGGGGGUGGCCUUUUGAGUCGAGUCCAUCACACGGGACUUGCCUAGUGCGGUUUACUUUCCUGUGUGGCUUGGAAGCUAGAGCAGGAUGUACCUUGUGCCAACCCGCGGCUGGGUUUCCCUCGUCAUAAAAAAAAAAGAAAAGAAAAAGAAAAUAUGACAACAAAAUAAUUAGAUACAAAUCAAAUGAAGCAAUCACACGAGGUUAAAAAGAGCUUAAGCCAACAUGGAGAAUUAUUCCCAAUUGAAUAAUGUGGACCUUAUGGAUAGAAAGGAACAAGGCAUGUUUUGAUGGGAAGAAGUUACAUACUUCAACAGUAAAAAGUAAAUGCAUUUAAAGUCUGUACUUUUCGUGUUAUACGCACUUUGGGUAUGAUGGAUAAGUAUGUGAACUUUUGAUACGUGCUAUGAGAUAAUAUGUAGUAUUUGAUUAUCGAGUUUGCUACUAAGUCAUGUACCCUUUGCGGUACCAUCUUGGUACACGUCAAAUAAAAUCCUUACCAGAAAAAAAAAUGAAGCAACAGAUAGUAGGCAACAACACUCGGCUACCUACUAAUGGCUAAUCCUCGAUCUCCACAUCUAAUUGUGUAGCUAUCAAUGUCAGUUUGAUAAGCUUAAUACAAUCAAAUGGUAAUGGGCUUCCCAUUUCUGUUUCUUGUGAUUUUGACAAAUCUGUUUAGUCCUCUGUAUUUGUAAAGAAAACCAUUCUGUCACAUUAAGAGGAGAUGGAUAACAACGCUAAUAUACCCAGUAUAAUUACACAAGUGGGGUUUGGGAGAGUAGUGUAUAUGCAGAUCUUACCCUACGUCAUAGAGAUAGAGAGAUUGUUCCUGAUAGAUCCUCGGCUAAGAGGAGAUGGAUGAGUAAUUUAAUUAGAACUUGCCGUUUCUGUCCUUUUUACAUUUGUGGGUUGUUAAAUGGACAAUGUCACCACAGUUUUGUCCGGAUAGUUUGGAGAUAUGCUCCUCAUUUUUGUGUUCUUGUUUAUUUUCUACAGGUUCUUAUUGGCGAAUAUUGUUAUAUAAUAUGAAGUGUAAGGAAAAAAAACUAUAUCGCUCUCGAACUUCACCACCUGAUAUUCUUAGCAACUUUCCUGAGAAUGUAAUAGAUAAAAUUCUUAUGUUUUUGCCUUUUUGAGAUUCUGUGAGGACAAGUAUCUUAUCGAAAAAAUGGAGAUAUGUUUGGCGUAGACUUCCAGAGUUGAUGCUUUCUCACACAAGUUGGAAACCCAAAUAGGAUUUAGCUGAGCUUACAAGUAAUUUCAGAAAGAUUAUAGACCGCAUUUUGGCUUUUCAUUUUGGACCAGUUACAAAGUUUACCCUCAGCAUUGCGUAUUUCGAUAUAUGCCCUUUUAUUGAUGAUUUGAUUUGUUUCCUCUCUAGAAACGACAUUCAACAUCUUGUUCUUAGACUUCCAAUCAGGAGUAAACCAUAUGAAUUGCCGCCUUCAUUAUUCACAUGUUCCCAGUUAAGGCAUCUGACUCUCCCGAAUUCUUUAAUACCUCAUCAACCAGCCUUCAAAGAAUUUGAUAGGUCAAUUAGUCUAGAACUACGUGAUGUCACAAUUUUGUCCCAAGUUACUUGAACGUCUCAUCUCUUGUUGCUUGUUGCUCGAGCAGUUGGUGCUGCAGAUCUCAGGUUCUUCAAGAAACAUCAUUGAAAUUAUUUAUCACGACACAAGCCGAGGCCCUAGCCGCGAUGGAUAUCCCAAACCGUGAAUGCCCGAGAGUUCUUCUCUAACUAGAAAUCAUAUACACAAUUCAUAUACUGUAAGAAAAAUGCGGAAAAACAUGACAAGAUGGAAACAUGGUCAUUCUUUUGCUUCAACUGAACAAUACAAAAAUGGGUUCGUGAAACAUUCAAAAACACCUGCCAUUAGUUUGCGAAAUCUCUAACAACUCAAAAACACUACUGUCUGAAUACUGGAACAAGCCCCCAGUCGGACCAUAAACCAAAAUAAAAUAACAAUGACUUAUAGAUUUGGCCUUCUGAAAUAAGAGAAGCUCACCAACUGUCAAUCUCUGACCAAUCAAUCUAUGGCUUAGCGGGAGCUCGGGAUUUGUAUCAGAUCCUGAAACAUAGGGGGUCAAUAUAGAUGUACUGGUACGCAGAGUAAUCCAAAAUAAUAUAUAUAUAUAUAUAUAUUUGACAUAAGUGAGAGCAGUUCAUAAAACCUUUUACGUAUAAUAUAUGAAAACACAUGGGCAUACUUUAAAGACUUUGAAACAUUAUUUUAAAAUCAUGACUCACUCUUUAUCUUACUUCUGAGUUAGGUGGUAUACCCUACAACUCUACAAUACCACGGGCUAUAUGGAAUCUGCCCUUAACUCGGUAGCCAAUCCCCCAACCCAAGUUUGCCGUAAGGGUUGGAGUCUCUAUCUCUAAUACGCCAAAGGGUACUAGGACAGCAUACGAUCCCUCUUGGGGACAUAAUAAAUUCGUAUCAGCAAAAGAUGGUUUUGGGCUAAGAGUCAUCUGAACUCAAGCCUUCUUUGAGCAACCACCUAACUCUCUUUAAGCCCAUUUUUAGCUCUGAAAUCGAAAUUUGAAACUCUUACUCUGUUAUGGCAUUUAUUUAAAUGGUAUCAUCUUGCAAGUCGUAUCUCUAAGCCAUAAAAUAUCAUGGGAUAGUUUCUUGAUUCAAAACAUAAAGAUUGAACCACCAUAUCAUUCAAACAGUUCAAGAGAAUUCGUACUUCAAAAUAUAUGUCAAAUUAUACAAAGAAUAUCUCUUUUCAACAUUUCAACAAACAUGUGGUGGUUAUGUAUUUUUGACAAACCAUGCAAUUCUUUCAUUAUAUAUCUACAACAUUUAUCUGUUGGGUUCGAAAUUGAGAGGGCGUCAUGCAGAAGCUAUUAGUUGUAAACCAUUGUGGUGACAAUUCAAAAGACACUUAAAACAAUAUUAAAAAGCUUAACAUUAUUAUAUUAUUUGUCCAAUUGGCCUACAUAUAAAACCUAAUAUUAAAAAACAUAAAACUAAUGUAACACCCCGCAUUUCGGGCUAGAAUAAAAACCAUCGUUUCUAUGCGUAGAUGAUCCAAAAGCCUUAAAUCCAAUGCAAAUUUGGUAUGUUAAUCAAUUAUAUAGUGUGGUAAUCCAUUUAAGCAUGAAUUGAGAUCAUAGAGUUCCCCUAACUAAAGGUCAAGUUGAAAGCUUUCCUAUUGUUUGAGUUUUAGUGAGUGUCAAAACUUAAUAAAUCCUUGUAUAUGAAGAACUGGGUCUCCUACUAUAUAUCAAAUGAAAGCUCUUUUAAUUAGCUUUCCAAUGAUACUAAUUUCUCAAAAAUCCGACACCUAAGCAAAAUGUUACAACCAUUUUUAUGAGAGGCAAUAAGCCAGGGCGAUAAGUGAGGCAGCGCCCUGCCUAUUCCUGCCAGUGUAAUUUCUUGCAGUCAAGCUCCACAUCCAAGAGGGGUAUUUUUUUCAUUUUACACCUUUAAAUAUCCCCAAUAAAAUGAGAUUCAGCCUCUAAUAAGAAAAUUAUACCCUCAUUCUCUCAAAUUCUCUCAAGAACACUUCUUAGGGUUUCAACCCAAAGAUCAAAAUAUAAUCACCAUUGCGAGGGCUACAAGAUGCACUCACAAAUCGUACAUAUAUCAUCCCAAAGGCUAGAUUUCAUUCAAAAGCUUCUAAUUUAAGGUAUGUGGGGUUUAUCCGAAAAACUACAAGGUCUUAUAGCCAUUAGAGCAUGAUUUUUAAGAUUUUUAUGCAUGAAUUUCAAAGGGGUUUUGAAAUCUAUGUUCUAAAUUCAUAUUUCGAAUAUUUUAAUGUUACUAUUGUUUUGACCUAUGGUCCUAUCCCCUAAAUUGAUUUACAUGCAUACAUAUAUGUAUGGAAUUUCAGAUUUAUGAUUGUUUGAGAGCAUAAGUUACGAACUUCCUCUCUAGUAUUGAAUUAAAGCUUAUGGUUUUGUUGGAAAAGAGUUGAAAUUUAUGUUUGAUAAUUUUAAAGAUGUUUUCUCAAUGUCAUAGUACUUGAGCAUGAUUUAGAAUUGUUGAGAGGGUGUUUCUUGAUAUAACUAUAUUGUUGUUAAAGAGAAAGAAUUUGUAUGAGAAUGAGACUUUUAACAUGACCAUCUUUGUUUACUGAAUCAUUGAUAAAGAGAAUUGCUUGCAUUGUUUUACAUGAGUUUUAAAGAAUUAGUUUCCUGAAAGAAAUAUUGAUGUGGUGGUCCUGAAUUCCAUGAUUUUGAUAAUAGAGAUAUAAUAAACUAAUAAUGGCUCAGAGAUGUGACUUGUAAGUCAAUGGUAUGACGAUAACAUAUAUUUGUAUGCCAUAACAGAGUUAGAGUUUUUAGAGUAUGUUUUUCAGAGAAUGCAUUUCUAAAGAGUUAAAAGUAGGCUUAAAGAGGGUUAGGUGGUUGCCCCAAGAAGGAUUGAGUUCAAGUGACUCGCAGCCAAAAACUGUGUUUUGCCGAUACGAGUACAUUAUUUCCCCAAGAGGAAAUUUUACGCUGUCCUAGUGCCCAGUGGCGUAUAGAGCAGAGACUCUGACCCUUGCGGAAAACUUGGGUUGGGGGCUUGGCUGUCGAUUUAAUGGUAGAUCUCAUAUAGCCGGGAUAACAGUGUUGUAGGGUAUGCCAUCUAGUGCAAAAGUCAUACAAAGAGUGUCUUAGAUUUCAGAUAUUUUCACAGAGUCUUUUAAAAUGCCCAUGUGAUUUCAUACUAUAUGAUAUGCUUAUUAAUUGUUUUAAAUUGCUCUCAUAUAUGUUGAAUAUAAUUUAUUAUUUUGGAUUUGCUCUGCGUACCAGUAUAUUUGUAUUGACCCCCCUUCCUCCUAGGGUCUAAAGCUUAGAUCAGAGGUCCUGCUAGGCCGUAGAGUUUUCUGAUAGCAGUAAUGUGUGUAGUUGGUGAGCCUUCUUUAUUUCAGAAGGCCUAUGUCUUUCAAAUUAUGUUAUCUAUCUUGGUUUAGGUCCACUGGGGGCCCUGUCCCAGUUUCAGACAGUUGUCAUUUUUAGAAGUAGUAGAGAUUUCGUAGAUGGUUUCCAUAUGUUGUUAGAUGGUUUUGGAUUGUCCUUCUCUAUUAAUGAAUUUAUAUCAGAUUUAUGGCCAUAAUUCCUUUUUGCUGAAAUUUCUGCAUUUUCUUAUUUAUGUAUGAAUGGUGUAUAUGAUUUCAAGUUAGAAGGGUAUACGGGCUUUCAUGGUUCAAGAUUCCCAUCACGGAUAGGGCCUCAGUUCGGGUCAUGACAAACUUGGUAUCAGAGCACGGUUCAUGGUCCCAGGGUGUCUGCAAAAUCGUGUAGGGUAGGGUCUUGUUUAUGGCUGUGUAGCGUGCCACACUUAUAGGCAGAAGGCCAAUAGACGUUUAGGAAUGUUUCCCUUUCUUCAUGUUUUAGUUCUUUCUAUUGAUCUAGAAUGUUCCUCUUCCAUACUUUAAUUCAUGCUAUGGUGUCACCCAUGCCAAAGUAAAGUUAUCCCAAUUCUGUCCUUACUUCGAUAUGCCCAGAUAUGUCUCAUUAUUGGGGUGAUUUAAGUGCAAAAUUUUAGAGUUUAAAUGGUAUGGUCUUUUCUGAUUGAGCCAUAUAAGUGUUUAAAAUUUGUGCAAGGACUUGAGAAGAGUCCGUUUUUGUGUGUAUUAGUUUUUGUGUGAACUUUGAUUCUGAUGAAAUCGUGCUUUUCAGCCUGCGGUAUUAAGAAUAUUCCAUUUCUUUUCAAAAAUUUAUGUUGCAGAUGUCAUGCUUCUGGGGGAAUGAUGUGUAGCAGAAUGUUGGAACUGUAUUUUCACUCGAUUAGUUGUAUAAGUUAAAGUAUCGAUGUCAUAACCUAUUGGUAGUGAGAUUAGAGUAAGAGGUUGGUGAUAGGAUGUCACAAAGUUAGAAGUUGAGGGUGACUUUUAUGUAAAUAAAUAUUUUAGUUGAAUAACCGAUGUUUGAGGAUGAUUUACCACUUUAUAGUGAUAGACUAAUGUGGUAGCUAGUAGUAUGUGUGGAUUGUAUGGUAGUCUGUGGGGGAAGUGUUUGACUCAGAUUUUUAUUUAUAUAGUGUAUUCUUAGAUCAUUGAAUAUUAUGUUUUUAUUUUCUAUCUCUUGUAAUAUCUAAUCUUGUCAUCAUGGUAUUUUUGAAAAAUCAAAGUCUAAUGAAGCCGUGUGGGGCUCUUUCAAUUCACUAGCAUAGUUGCUUUGUUGUUCAUUUCAUUUUCUUGUUCAAAAUGCAAAAAUCAAAGUAUAGUGAAGCCGUGUGAGGCCUAUUUUGAUUCACUAGCCACUUGUUGUUCAACUUGUUGUUCUUGUGUUGGUUGAAUAUAUGUAUAGUCGAAUCUUUUCGCAUAAGAUUGAGUUGAUAAUGAAUUGAUACAUCCUUGUGUAUUAGUUUAGCAGAAGGUAGAGAAGGAGUUAUUAGUUAGGGUGAAUUGUUGUCUGCUUGAAGUAUGAAAAAUGGCUAGAUGAGCCAGUAAGUUAUAAAUAUAGACUCAUGGUUGUUGCGGAAUUUGAAGGUAGUCUAAAUGUAUGCUUGGGUAAGUAAUUGUGAUGUGAGAAAGUCGUAUAAGUAGGUAAGAUUGUUCGGGGUUAUAAUAUAAGAUUAAGGUUGACCCUUUCUAUUAUGUGACUUUACCCCCCCCUCCCGACCUUCCUUUUGUUGGUAGUUGUAAACUAGUACUACUUGUGAGAAGGUAUGUACUAGAUUUUUGAGGUAUUUGGGUAGAAUAUCCCAAUUUGAUGAACUAGUAUUUUAUGUUGCAUCCUUCCUUGGUGGUAAAUGAUUAAUGCUAGACUAUAGGCUUGAACAGUGUAUGCAAGAUCUUAAGUUUAUUUGAUUCGUGAUAAAGUAUGAUGUAGAAGUAUGCGCAAAGUGAUAUGAGGUUGCGGUAUUCUUUCUAAGGCUAUUACAUGUCGUGUAUGGCUAGUAGUACCGUUGAGUUAGGAGAUAGAGAAAGACUAGUUAGAUGGUAUAUGGUGUUCUAAAUAGCCGGGUUAAGGAGUUUUGAUUGAUAGUGUUAAGCCUUUUUAUAUGAUCUUGAUUCUCAUGGUAAAGAGAUAUAAGUUUAGAGUUGCAAUAUUGGUAGGCUAUGAUAGAAGUAGUAUGGUUCGUCAAAGGCUCAGUGAUUUUCAUGUUAAGUGUUAGAAGCUAAUUUUGAGUUUUUGAAGAUUGAACUUAUAGAAAUAAAAGUUGAAGCUCUGAGGGGUGUACACUCCAAAUAUGGGGAUACUCAUGAAGACUCGAAGUUAGUAAGUUUUCAUAAGUUUUCAAGUAUUAUACUUUUGGGGCUAUAGAAAGAUAGAAUGUAUCUCAAAAAGUAGUAUUAGUAGUGGGUUUUCCACUUUCAAGUGUAGUCAUUCGAGUGGAGUUCUAUGAUAUACGUCUAUUGUUGUUUUCCAUACCAAGAGUGCAGCAAGUGUAGUUCAGUUUAGAGUCUAGUAAGGGAUCUCCCGAACUUAAUAUGAUGGAUUAAGGCUAAUGGGGAGAUAGUAGAACAAGUAACUAAGUUCGGCUCUUAGGUUCUAGUAGAAAUGCCAGCAUGAUUUAGAGCAUCAAAAAGUGGGGGUGAGUCUAAAGCCUAUUCUUAUCUUAGCAUUUUUCAGUUAUCCCAAUACGUACUCAUGCCUUACAUUUCAGUUCCAUGAUCAUAGUAUGCUUGUUUUAGACAAGGCCAUAAAUGUGAAGUAAGAUCUGGGGCCAAAUCUUUGGUAUAUGUGAUGGUUAGUGAAAAUUUAUGUGUGCAUGUUCUUGGGGUAGCGCGUGGGAGUUAUAUUGAUAGUGAAUUAGAGAAUAUGUGAAGUAUAUCCUUAUGGGUGUUUUCCUUGGAAUUCAUAUGUGGUUAUAAAGAUAGGCUUGAAUGAUAUGUUGAGGUUUAAGUGGAGGAACGCAAUAUGCUCUAGUGAAUCCAUUGUAAGAGAACAAAGUUAGUCAUUGAAGUGGUAAGGCACGAUAUGCUUAGGGUGUNNNNNNNNNNNNNNNNNNNNNNNNNNNNNNNNNNNNNNNNNNNNNNNNNNNNNNNNNNNNNNNNNNNNNNNNNNNNNNNNNNNNNNNNNNNNNNNNNNNNNNNNNNNNNNNNNNNNNNNNNNNNNNNNNNNNNNNNNNNNNNNNNNNNNNNNNNNNNNNNNNNNNNNNNNNNNNNNNNNNNNNNNNNNNNNNNNNNNNNNNNNNNNNNNNNNNNNNNNNNNNNNNNNNNNNNNNNNNNNNNNNNNNNNNNNNNNNNNNNNNNNNNNNNNNNNNNNNNNNNNNNNNNNNNNNNNNNNNNNNNNNNNNNNNNNNCCCAAGAUUCUUUGCUCCCGAAUGCUACUAGAACUUCUUUAUAAAGAGUGUUGAAGAGAUACUCCAGUUAAGUAUAAGUUUCCAGUAUAAUUCAGCCAGUAUAACCAGAAGUUCAGUUUAACAGUCAGGUAGACAAGUUAUUGUGGUUUUCCACUAUUUCCUCCUAGUCCUACUAUCCUAAGUCUCAGGCGUAUGAAUAUCCUAAGAGAUAAUCCAUUCCAUCCAUGUAAGUUACGAAUUCAGUUCAGUCUGAGCAUCAUGGUUUAGAUUCAGCUAUUUAGUCAUGAGUUAGUUCAUAAGAGUUCAGCGUAUAAUCUAAAUUUUACCAAGAAUUUUAGCCCAGGCAGUGUAAUACCCUGAUGCGAUCUAAAUCGAGUUGUCUCAUGAUUCGUACUUGCAUAAGUUAUCACUUCUCAAUUCUAUAUGCAUGAUUGGAUAAUGAACACCUCAAGGAAUUCCUAGUAUGAAUCAGCUCCUUAAAGCAAGUAAGGGAAAGUCAGCUCAGAAUUCAGUUUCAUGAUCGAAAUUUAGAUGUUUCCGAUUAGUAUAUUCUUUCUUAGAAGUCAUAUCAUGUCCACAUUAUUCCAUACCUUUAAGACUUCAAUAUUUCUACCUAUCAUUUGGAGAUGAAUGAUCCCAAGGGGCAGAUAAUGUAACACCCUGCAUUUUGGGCUAGAAUAAAAACCGUCGUUUCUAUGCGUAGAUGAUCCAAACGACUUAAAUCCUAUGAAAAUUUAGUAUGUUAAUCAACUAUGUAGUGUGGGAACCUAUUUAAGCAUGAGUUGAGAUCAAAGAGGUUCCCUAACUCUAGAUCAAGUUGAAAGCUUUCCUAUCGUUCGAGUUUUAGUGAGCAUCAAAACUUGGGUCAACUUCAAUCAACCAUAACUCCUUGUAUAUGACGAACAGAGUGUCCUAAUAUAUAUCAAAUGAAAUCUCUUUGAAUUAUCUUCCCAACGAUACCAAUUUCUCCAAAAUCCGAUACUUGAGCGAAAAGUUACAACCAUUUUCGUGAGAGGCAGUAGGCCAGGGCGAUAAGCGAGGCGGCGCCCUACCUAUUCGUGCCAGUGUAAUUUCCUGCAGUCAAGCUCCACGUCCAAGAGGGGUAUUUUGGUCAUUUUCCACACUUAAAUAGCCCCAGUAACACGAGAUUCAGCCUCUAAUAACCAAAUUAUACCCUUAUUCUCUCAAAUUCUCUCAAGACUACUUCUUAGGGUUUCAACCCAAAGAUCGAAAUAUCUUAAGAUUUCAGCAUGAGUUUUCAAUAAUUCUUCAAGAUUCGGAAUCUCCAUUGCGAGGGCUACAAGAUGCACCCACCAAUCGUACGUAUAGCAUCCCAAAGGCUAGAUUUUAUUCAAAAACUUCUAAUUUAAGGUACAUGGGGUUUAUUCUAAACACUACAUGGGCUUGAAACUAUUAGAGCAUAAUUUUUAAGGAUUUUAUGCAUGAAUUUCAAAGGGGUUUUGGAAUCUAUUUUCUAAAUUUCAUAUUUUGAAUAUUUCAAUGUUACUAUUGUUUUGACCUUGUGGUCUUAUCUUCUAAAUUGAUUUACAUGUAUACGUAUAUGUAUGAAAUUUCAGAUUUAUGAUUGUUUGAGAGCAUAAGUUACGAACUUCCUCUCUUGUACUGAAUUAAAGCUUAUGGUUUUGUUGGAAAAGAGUUGAAAUGCAUGUUUUAUGAUUCGAAAAAUGUUUUCUCAAUGUUAUAGUACUUGAGCAUGAUUUAGAAUCAUUGAGAGGGUGUUUCUUGAUAUAACUAUGUUGAUGUUAAAGAGAAAGAAUUUGUAUGAGAAUGAGACUUUUAACAUGACCACCUUUGUUUACUGAAUCAUUGAUAAAGAGAAUUGCUUGCAUUGUUUUACAUGAGAUUUAAAGAAUGAGUUUACUGAAAGAAUUGUUGAUGUGGUGGUCUUGAAUUCCAUGAUUUUGAUAACAGAGAUAUAAUAAACUAAUAAUGGCUCAGAGAUAUGAUUUGCAAGUCAAUGGUAUGACGAUACCAUAUGUUUGUAUGCCAUAACAGAGUUAGAGUUUUUAGAGUAUGUUUUCCAGAGAAUGCAUGUUCUAAAGAGUUAAAAGUGGGCUUAAAGAGGGUUAGGUGGUUUCCUGAAGAAGGCUUAAGUUCAAGUGACUCGUAGCCAGAAACCGUGUUUUCCCGAUACGGGUACAUUAUUUCCCCAUGAGGGAUUUUUACGCUGGCCUGGUGCCCAGUGGCGUAUAGAGCAGAGACUCCGACCCUUGAGGCAAACUUGGGUUGGGGUCUUGGGUUCCGAGUUAAUGGCAAAUCCCAUAUACCCCAUGGGAUAACAGAGUUGUAGGGUAUACCACCUAGCGCAGAAGUAAUGCAAAGAGUGUCUCAGAUUUCAGAUGUUUUCACAAAGUCUUUUAAAAUGCCCAUGUGAUUUCAUACUAUAUGAUAUGCUUAUGAACUAUUUUAAAUUGCUCUCAUAUAUGUUGAAUAUAAAUUAUUAUUUUUGAUUUGCUCUGCCUACCAGUACAUUUGUAUUGACCCCCUUCCUCCCAGGGUCUAUAGCUCAGAUCAGAGGUCUUACUAGGCCGUAGAGUUUUCUGACAGUAGUGAUGUGUGCAGUUGAUGAACCUUCUUUAUUUCAAAAGUCCUAUGUCUUUCAGAUUAUGUUAUCUAUCUUAGUUUAGGUCCACUGGGGGCUUGUCCCACUUUCAGACAGUUGUCAUUUUCAGAUGUAGUAGAGAUUUCGCAGACGGUUUCCAGUUGUUGUUAGAUGGUUUUGGAUUGUGUUUUUCUAUUAUUGAAUUUAUAUCAGAUUUAUGACCAUGAUUUUGUUUUGCUGAAAUUUCCGCGUUUUCUUAUUUGUGUAUGAAUGGUGUAUAUAAUUUCAAGUUAGAAGGGUAUCCGGGCCUUCAUGGUUCGGGAUGUCCAUCACGGCCAGGGCCUUAGCUCGGGUCGUGACAACUAAUAAGAGAGAAAAUCUCUCCCUAAAUGAAAAUCUUAAAAUACUACAUUGUGGAUGCUAUUAUGCUAUGGUAUGAGAAAGGGGGUCUUUUAUUUAUAAAUGUCCAAAACCUUGUCUCCAAGAAAGAGGUUAGCCAAAUAUAGAAAAGAAUUAUAUUUUUAUUUCAAGAAAAGUAAAAGUAAUUAUGCUAACUUUUAUUUUCCUUCUAAGAAAAAGUAAAACUUAAAUAUAGUAAGAAAAUCAAGGCAAAAACCUUAACAAAUCUUCCUUUUUUGGCUUGAUUUUCUUCACUUGACUUGUGUUCUCUUCAUAUCACGUGCAUGAACUUCGUUCUUGAUAUAAUCUUCAUAACUACUGCUUACCAUGAUUAAAAAUAAGGGUUAAAAUAUCAUGGUUAAAAAUUAGUUUAAAAGUAAUACUUUAUUUUUAUUUUUGAAGAUGCAGCAGCAGGAGUUUUGAAAAUAUGGUUGAAACUUGUUCUUCACAUGUAGUUCGACAAAAAUCUUCAUUAUCAUCAAAAUUGUUGUAGCUUGCUUUUGAAACCGCUUUGAACCUGUUUAAUCUCGUCUCACCACACCAUUGGACCAUUGAACUGUAAACUCUGAUACCACUUAUUGGGUUCGAAAUCGAGAGGGCUUCAUGCGGAAGCUAUUAGUUGCAAACCAUUGUGGUAAUAAUUCAGAAGACACAUAAAAUAAUAUUAAAAAGCUUAAUAUUAUUAUAUUAUUUGGCCAAUUGGCCUACAUAUAAAACCUAAUAUUAAAAAUCAUAAAACUAAUAAGAGAGAAAAUCUCCCCGUAAAUGAAAAUCUUAAAAGACUACAUUGUGGAUGCUAUUGUGUUAUGGCAUAAGAAAGGGGGUCUUCUAUUUAUAGAUAUCCAAAACCUUUCCUCCAAGAAAGAGGUUAGCCAAAUACAGAAAAGAAUUGUAUUUGUCUUUUAGAAAAAGUAAAAGUAAUUAUGGUAACUUGUAUUUUUCUUCUAAGUAAAAAUAAAACUUAAAUAUAGUAAGAAAAUCAGGGCAAAAAUCCUAAUAUUAUCAACAUGUAAAACCUCCCUCUCUUCAAUUUAUAAUCAAAACCAAGUCUUAUGCAUUAGUAAAGAUGUUUGUACUAUGCUUCUCAAUAUGGAUUUGAACAAUUAAUAACAUAUGAACACAAGGGGAUUUAUAACAAGAGAGAGUUUAUGAUUUUUUGUGCUCUCAAUUCAAGUUUCAAACAUCAAACCACAUGCAUCUUGUCCUAAUUCAUUUACUAAAUUAUCCUCUUCCGAAUAUGAAGAGUCAGAUUUUGAAUUAUCUUCUAUAUCAAAACUUAUUAUUGAGUAUAUACUUUCUGUUUCUGACAUGUAUUCGUCUAUAUUUAGUAAUGUUUCUUGAAAGUCUUCUAUUAAUUGAGAAUUUCUAGUUCUACUAUUAUUUCUUUUAGGACAUACAUUAGCUAGAUGGUCUAUGCUUCCAUAAGUAUAGCAUUCUAAUUUAUUUUUAUAGUUUCUAUCAUUUCUAUAUUUCCUAACAUGUCUAUCUCUAUUUGACCAUGGUUUUUUAGGUUUUGAUUUUCUUAGGAAGUAUUGUUUACGUCUAUAUGGUUUCUGGUUAUAUUUUUUCUUAUAUCUUCUAGGUUUUUUCUGAUUAUUAUCAUAAUUUUGGGUUGUGUACAUAAUAGAUUUACAGAAUUUCAUUUCAUUUCUUUUUAAUUUUUUUGUAAUUGUAUAUUUGUGCAUUUUUCUGUUAGUAUAUCCAUUAUAUUUUGUAUUCUAUGUCCUGUAGUCCAUUUUACAUUUGGGCUAGCAACUACACCAUCUCUUUUGUACCAUAUAUCUUAUAUUUCUCUUCCUAAAGCUCCUGGUAACUUAUUAAAUAAUUUUUUACCUAGUUCUUCACUAAAAGUGUUUCUGCUGACCGUGCAGUAAUAAAAAUAGUCUUUUAAAAAAUUCUUUAUAUAUAACCAAAUUGAAAUGCUUAGUUGUUCUAAAUUUACUAAGGCUUGAUUUUGUAAUGCUAAUAAUCCACUAUUUAGGUCUUUUCCAGUUAAUAAAAUAUGCAUUUUAUUUUUGAAAUUAUAAGUAUUUGUACCCAUGCUUAACAGAACCUGGAAGUCAUAUGGAAAAUUAGUCUUAAAACUUUCCCAUGUAGUUUUUCCAAAUUCUCCUAAAAAAGUUUCUAAGUAUUUAUACAUUAUUUCUGUAUCAGUUUCUUUAUAAUGUCUUAAAUAAUCCACUGCUACUAUUCCUUUCCAUAAAUCUAGUACUGUAUCCCACAUUUGUGGAUCGUGUAUUUCUAAUAGAUAGUAACAAAUUCUGUGUAACAAAUCUUUUAGUAACAAAUUUUGUGUAACAAUUUUUUCGUAAUAAACUAUAUAUUGAAAAAAAAUCCUACUCAGUACUUCUCUCUCUUAUUGUUUCAUCAUGAUUUUAGUUCUUUUUAUCUAUUCCCCCCCCCCUCCCUUGUUUUUUUACCCUGUUCAUAUCUCUCUCUUAACCUAUGUUCUUAAUAACUUACACCUUUAACCACACCCCGAAAACCUUCAUCUGGCGACUAACACUCGUCCUAUCAUCUAUUCUGCAGACAUAGCGGACUAUCAAGGUCAGAAUUCCUAGAAAUUUACAGGUUAAUCAAUCGUUGUUAUUAAGAAAUUAAGAGGUUAACCAUAUACUGAGGGUAAUAAGUUUAGAUUUACAUAAUGUACAUAAAACAUAUACAAAAAGAAGUAAACAUAUUUUUUAGUGGUGAAAAUUUUAAGCAUAAAUAAGAACUUACAUAAAGUAACUUGGAGAGAGGUGGUUUUUUAAAUGUUUUUAGUAAGUGUUCUGGUGCUAUUUCUUUAUUAAUUAUACAGCUUGUACAUCUGAGGUUGACUAGUGCUAAAGUUUCUAUCUCUAUGCUUGGAUUUUAAUUUUCACUAAUACUUUUAUAGUAGAAAAUUCUUUAUCUUCAUUACAUAUUAGGCUUUUUGAACCGGACUAGCUGUACCAAUAUCUGGUACAGUGGAUUUCUGAGCAUUCAAAGAGGAAUUCACACCCUUCUCAUCCAUUUUUUGUAGAGAUGGAGAACUCUGUGUAUCUGAGUACUUAUAUUAGUCUUUCUUGUCUGAUAUUUACUAAGCUUGUCUUGUAGAGUCUGUAUUUGCUCCAUGAGUCGAGUGUUUUCCACAAUAAGAGCCUCCUUAUAAAGAUUUUGUCUUUUAAAGGCGUCGGUCAUUGAGGAUCAAUGGUCACAAACAAUUAUUUUACCUGAAUCCCUCUGGAUAUUGUGUUGGGGUGUCUGGUUAGGAUUUUGUUUGAGGGCUGGUGAUAAAUUAAAAUUAGGUCCAAGGUGUCCUCUUGCAUAAUCUAAAGCUUAGGAAAAAUCAUUAAAACCUUUGUAAGAGGAUUUUUUACACCAUUUAUAGAGUCUGUUACUUCUAACCAUGUCUGAAAAAUUCCAUCUGUCUUAACAUGUAUAAUUACAUAAUAGUUGAAUCUAGGGUUGCUCUUGUCUGAUAUAUAUUGACAUAAAGCAUUCAUAGAAGCUAAAAAAUAUUUGUAUUGUAGUUUAUGGUGUGCUAUCCAAAGAUUAUCUACCAAACAUCUUUGGGGUCUGUCUAAAAUAUGUUCUGGUCUGAGUCUGAACGAAUAAUUACUAAGUGGAUGAGAAAUUAAAUUAAAAGGUCCAAAAUCUAUUCUUUCCAUUGGUUCUAUGGAGUUUUGGAGUUCUACAGAGUUUUGGGGUCUAAAUUUAACAUUUCCUAGUAUUUUCUGAUAGUAAUUGUCUUGAGAUGAGGAAUAUGCUACUCUUUUGCCCUUGUCUGCUGUAUGUUGACUAGUUGGCUGCAUGCUGAAACAAACAUUAGUUUCUGUUAAACCGGUUUUGUUUUUAAUUGUAACUUACUUAACUGAUCUGCUUAUUCAUUUUCUUUAACUUUAAAAUACCCAAAAACAAUAUUUUUAUAUAUCGAUAUAGUAUCCAUAAAAUUUAGAGUGGACAAUAUUCACUUAUCUAGAAGGGCAUUUUGAAUGACUUGUUAUGCCGUUUGGAUUAAAAACAACCCCACCCAUUUUUCAAAGAAAAAUGGAUGAUAUUUUUAGAGAUUAUAAAAAUUUUGUAUUAGUAUAUGUAGAUGAUAUUUUAGUAUUUAGUAAAGAUAUGCAGCAACAUUUAGGACAUCUACAAACAGUAUUUAUCUAUGAUUACCCUCUUCUUCUAUCCACUUAUUUAAUCUUCUUACUCUUUGAAAAAUAGGUAAAUCUUGCAUAUAAUUAUGUUAUCCUAGUUGGUAUGCCUUUUUAUUAAUACGCUUUUUAAGCCACCGUAUUCCUUUACUAUUAUUUUCGAAGUCUCUAUCACAACCGCUUAACUCCCAAUUUAAGUCACUUACUAAUUCUUUACUUACUAUUCUAGGACUUUUGUAUAACUUAUGUAAUUUAUUUACUUCUAUUAAUCUUUCUCUACACUCUUCUAAUUUCUGUUUUCUAGAAAUAAUAUUAGCUCUUUUGCUAUAUUCUCUCUAUAAAUAAAAAUAACUACACCUUAUAUCUAGAAAAGCUCGAUGUCUUCUCAUACACUUGUCUAGAUUUAAGAUGAAUAACUAGUUUAUAUUCUAGUUGUCCUAUUCUAGUGAUUAAGUAAUCUAGUCUAUUAUUAUCUUCUUUUGUAUAGCUAAGUCUCCUAUAUUCUAAAUACAAUUCUUCUAAUCUUUCCUAAGUUUCUAACUAUAGGCGAGUACUUAGUAAUGGUCUGUUCAUUAACUAUGGUUCCCAAAACCUUCCCUCUUAGAUACCAAUAUAUAUGAUAAGGCGAUGCAAUAUAUUUCAAUAAAAUAAUUUUUUGUUGUUAUUAAGAAAUUAAGAGGUUAACCAUAUACUAAGGGUAAUAAGUUUAGAUUUACAUGAUGUACAUAAAACAUAUACAUAAAGAAGUAAACAUAUUUUUUAGUGGGGAAAAUUUUAAGCAUAAAUAAGAACUUACAUGAAGUAACUUGGAGAGAGGUUUCCCUUUCGGGAACCCUUUAAAGACUUUGAAAAACUGAAAACUUUAUUAUUCCACACACGUUUAUAUUAAAAGCUUUUGUUUACACAAAGAGGAGGAGUUUGUUCAAAGGAAAAGUUCAUACAUAAGAGAAGGUGAAAUGGUUGAGAGGUCCGCAGAGAGUUUUUUUUUAUGAUCUUCUUUUAUUAUCUAUGUCUUGCUACUAAAUUUUAGUCUUAUACAGACCAAAGUAAGGAAAAAGGAAUGGAUACGUGGCCUGGAUAAUAUGGCCGACAGAUAAGGAUAAGAUUCUUUAAUAAUGCAGGUCGGGUACACAUUGGGCCCCAUCGUCACAUGCAUUAUUAUUCCUCUUUUGCAGAUGCUUGCUUUAACAGUUUUUCUUUCUUUUGGAAAGUAGUGAUAAAGGAAGCACUCUGACACAGACUUGACUAAUUACAGGACUUGAAGUGGGCAUACCCACAUGGCACUCUUAUCUUUACAUCUUAUCAUAAUACUUGAAUCUUAUUAUUCCACGUUUCUAUCUUCUCUACAACUUGUCUUCUUCUAUCUUUUUCUGGCUAUGUAUCCAAGUUGUGCAGGGCUAUGAUGUCAAAGCUCAUUCCAGAGUCAUCAUCUUCAUAGGGAUCUUGAGCAUCUUGGAGAAGACUGUCUUCAAAUUCAUUGUUUUCUUCAUCUGACGAUCGUGGAAUAUUAAUGUCUAUAUUGUUCAUAUCUGGAACAAACCUAUCUAUGCUUGUACAUAGCUUGCAUUUGCUAUCUAUAUGCUUAUCUUGUUCUUGGCUACUAAAGAAUUUCUCUAAUGUUUGUUUUACAAUAGUCUCAAUUUUUUUACUUUUCUUCUUUGCCAUUAAUGUCUUUUUUAAGGUACUAGUUCUAGGGGAUUUUGAUGAAGGUCCUGCUUCACCUUUACUUUUUUGGCAAAGUGACAGCCAUUAACUGAUUUUUAUUGUCUUUACUGAUUACUAUUUGAACCGGACUAGCUGUACCAAUAUCCGGUACAGUGGAUUUCUGAGCAUUCAGAGGGGAAUGCACACCCUUCUCAUCCAUUUUUUUUGGAGAGCAAGAACUUGUGUCUGAGUACUUGUAUUAGUAUUUCUUGUCUUAUAUUUACUAAGCUUAUCUUGUAGAGUCUGUAUUUGCUCCAUGAGUCGAGAGUUUUCCACAAUAAGAGCCUCCUUAUAAAGAUUUAGUCUUUUAAAGGCGUCAGCAUUGAGGAACAAUGGUCACAAAAAAUUAUUUUACCUAAAUCCCUCUGGAUAUUGUAUUGGGGUGUCUGGUUGGGAUUUUUUCUGAGGUCUGGCGAUAAAUAAAAAUUAGGUCCAAAGUGUCCUCUUGCAUAAUCUGAAGCUUCAAAAAAAUCAUUAAAACCUUUGUAAAGAGGAUUUUUUACACUAUUUAUAAAGUCCAUUACUUCUAACCAAGUCUAAAAAGUUCCAUUUGUCUUACCAUGUAUAAUUACAUAAUAUUUGAAUAUAGGCUUGAUCUUGUCUGAUAUAUAUUGAUAUAAAGCAUUCAUAGAAGCUAAAAAAUGUUUGUGGUAUGGUUUAUGGUGUGCUAUCCAAAGAUUAUUUACCAAGCAUCUUUGGGGUCUGUCUAAAAUAUGUUCUGAUCUGAGUCUGAAUGAAUGAUUACUAAGCGGAUAAGAAAUUAAAUUGAAAGGUCCAGAAUCUAUUCUUUCCAUUGGUUCUAUGGAGUUUCGAAGUUCUAUGGGAGUUUUGGGGUCUAAGUCUAACGUUUCCUAGCAUUGUCUGAUAGUAAAUGUCUUGAGAUGAGGAAGAUGCUACACCUUUGCCCUUUUCUGCUGUAUAUUGACUAGUUGAUUGCAUGCUGAAACAAACAUUAGUUUUGGUUAAAAUGGUUUUUUUUUAAUUGUAACCUACUUAACUGAUCUGCCAAUUUAUUUUCUUUACCUUUAAUAUAUUCAAAAAUAAUAUUUUUAUAUACUGAUAUAGUAUCCAUAAAAUUUAACCAUGUUCUUCUACUACUAGCUUUAUCAUUUAUUUUUUGACUAAACUUAACUAUCGCCUCACAAUCUAUUCUUACCAAAACUUCUUCUUUAUUUAGAAUAUAUAAUUUAAAACUAUUUAAACCAUAUAUUAUAGCUAAUACUUCUAAGUCUAUACUAGGCAUAUUUCCUUUUUCUUUAUAUUGUCCACUUUGGUAUGCACAAAUUCUCUCUUCAUUCUUAUCACUAUAUUUAUUAGGUUUAGCUUUUAACAUGGCUCCCUAUCCUAAUUGACUACCAUCAGUUUGGACUAUUAAGUAAUAGGAUUCUAGCGGGAUUGUUAAAGCUGGAAUGUUUUUAACCUUUUCUUUAAUCUGUUGUACUAGUUUAAUGUCUUCUAAGUUGAAAUGUUUCUGCCCUUUACUGCCUGUUUUAGCAUAUAAAGGUCCUGCUAUUUUUCCUAAGUCUUGAACAAAAUUUCAUGUGUAAUUUACUAAUCCUAAAAAUUUUUGUAAGUUUUUAGUAUUUUCUAAUUUAUCUGACAUUUCUAAUACCUUUUUGGCUAUAUGAGGCUAGAGUUUAAUCCUCCCAUCUCCUAGGGUUAUUCCUAGAAAAUUAAUAUGUGUUUUACAUAAUUUCAUUUUUUUUUUUGCUAAUUAUUAUUUCGCGUUUAAUAAAUAGUCUAAAUACUAUUCGUAGAUGUCCUAAAUGUUGUUGCAUAUCUUUACUAAUUACUAAAAUAUCAUCUACAUAUACUAAUACAAAUUUUUUGUAAUCUCUAAAAAUAUCAUUCAUUUUUCUUUGAAAAAUGGGUGGGGCUAAUUUUUAAUCCAAAUGGCAUAACAAGCCAUUCAAAAUGCCCUUCUGGACAAGUGAAUGUUGUCCAUUCUAUGCUAUCUGGGUGCAUUUUUACCUGCCAAUAUCCUGAUUUACAGUCAAAUUUACUAUAUUACUUUUUUCCUUGUAUUCUAUUAAUUAAUUCACUUUUAUCUAGUAACUUAUAUGCGUCUGUCUUGGUGUUGUCAUUUAGUCUCUUAUAGUUUAUUACCAUACGAGUUUUCCCUCUUAUUUGCUCACUAUGAUUUCUUACCAUGAAUGCUGCUGAUCUGUGUCUAGAUGUUGAUCUUCUAAUUACUUCUAAUUUUAACAACCCUUUUAUUUGUUUAUCAAAUUCAUCUAUAUCUUCAUUGUUAGCUUCUAUAGAUGUUGUUUUUAUAGUAUAUUCUGGGUUAAUUAUGUCUAAUUUGCACAUUAUUUCAUUAGCAUCCCAAUGUGCUAAAGGUUUUUCUCCUAUUAUUUCCAGUUUAUCUAAAAUAUUUAUUACUCUAUCUAAAUCUUUGGGACUAUUUAUCAUACCCAUUUUAUUUAUACCUUUUUAAAAAUUAUAAAAUUGAGUCUCAACAUUUAUUAGUGUAUAAUCUUUUUCUAUUUCUUCUAUAUAUUCUUAUCCUUCUGCUCUUUUUAGUGUGUAAUUUUUUAAUUCUUCAAAAUUGUCUUCUAACUUUCUAUUUUCUUUUAAUAGGUUACUAUUCUGGCAUUGGUCAUAACAUUGGUCAUUAUUUGAGCAUCCUUCACAACACGGUUUAGAAGUUAACUCCUUUUUGUGUGUUUUUAGUUUUCUAUAUAUUGUUGGUAAUUUUAUUGUUUGUACUGGAGUAUAAGUUAGAUUUUUAAAUAGUAUUAUUUCAUCUCUUGUUAAGAGACAUCCUCCUCUAUUUUGUAUAAUAAAUUGUAAUCUUAUUACAAAGUCUGAUUCUAUAUUUUAAUCCCUUACUAAUAUUCUAUUAAUCUGAUUCUAGAUUUAAAUCCCUUACUAAUAUUCUAUUAACAUUGUAUGUAGGCUUGUAGAAUUCAUUACAUGUAUUUAAGAAACUUAUUUGUGCCUUUUCUAUGUAAUAUUUAUAGAUAUUAUGCGAUCCAUCCAUUUGCAUUGCUACUAUGGGUUUUUUUAAAUAUUUUUAGUAAGUGUUCUGGUGCUAUUUCUUUAUUAAUUAUACAGCUUGUACAUCCAGGGUCGACUAGUGCUAAAGUUACUAUCUCUAUGUAUUGGAUUUUAAUUUUCACUAAUACUUUUAUAGUAGAAAAUUCUUUAUAUUCAUUACAUAUAGGCUAGUGCCAUUGUCUUCUAUGUUCAUAAGCUCUACUUCCAAUUUUUCUAAAUGUACUGUCUCUUGUGUAUCUUCCUGUGCAUUUAUUUCUUCUCUAGUUAUUUUGUCUUUCCCUUUUUCUAAGGUGGCUAAUCUUUGUUCUAGAUUAUUUACUCUGGCUUCUAAAGUUGUUAUUCUUCAAUUUAUGAUUUGGUUAUUUGUAUAUUUCUAUUCGCUUUUUGUUUCUGAUUCUAUUUUUAUCUUUAAAGUGUUUUCUAUACAAUUUACACAAGCUUCUAAAUAAAAUUUUCUACAUUUAGCUCUAUUUUUUUUACGUGGGUACCAACUACAUAGAUGACAUCUAUUACUGUCUAAACCUUUGUAUCUUUGAAAUUCAUGUAUACAUUCUUGAGUGACAUUCAUCAAGUUAUUAAUUAUUAGAUUAUUUAAGCCUAGAUCAUCUAUCUCUUGUCCUAAUUCAUUUACUAAAUUAUCCUCUUCCGAAUCUGAAGAGUCAGAUUUUGAAUUAUCUUCUAUAUCAAAACUUAUUAUUGAGUAUAUACUUUCUGUAUCUGACAUGUAUUCGUCUACAUUUAGUAAUGUUUCUUGAAAGUCUUCUAUUAAUUGAGAAUUUCUAGUUCUACUAUUAUUUCUUUUAGGACAUACAUUAGCUAGAUGGUCUAUGCUUCUACAAGUAUAGCAUUCUAAUUUAUUUUUAUAGUUUCUAUCAUUUCUAUAUUUCCUAACAUGUCUAUCUCUAUUUAACCAUGAUUUUUUAACUUUUGAUUUUCUUAGGAAGUAUCAUUUACGACUAUAUGGUUUUUGGUUAUAUUUUUUCUUAUAUCUUCUAGGUUUUUUCUGAUUAUUAUCAUAAUUUUGGGUUGUGUACAUAAUAGAGUUACAGAAGUUCAUUUCAUUUCUUUUUAAUUAUUUUUGUAUUUGUAUAUUUGUGCAUUUUUCUGUUAGUAUAUCCAUUAUAUGUUGUAUUCUAUGUCCUAUAGUCCAUUUAACGUUUGGGCUAGCAACUACACCAUCUCUUUUGUACCAUCUAUCUUCUAUUUCUCUUCCUAAAGAUCUUGGUAACUUAUUAAAUAAUUUUUUUUUAUCUAGUUCUUCAUUAAAGGUGUUUCCGUUGACCGUACAGUAGUAAAAAUAGUCUUUUAAAAAAUUCUUUAUAUAUAACCAAUGUGAAAUGCUUAGUUGUUCUAAUUUUAUUAAGGCUUCUUUUUGUAAUGUUAAUAAUCCACUAUUUGGGUCUUUUCCAGUUAAUAAAAUAUGCAUUUUAUUUGUGAAAUUAAAAGUAUUUGAACCCAUGCUUAACAGAACCUGGAAAUCAUAUGGGAAAUUAGUCUUAAAACUUUCCCAUGUAGCUUUUGCAGAUUCUCCUAAAAAAGUUUCUAAGUAUUUAUACAUUGUUUUUGUAUCAGUUUCUGUAUAAUGUCUUAAAUAAUCCGCUACUACUAUUUCUUUCCAUAAAUCUAUUACUGUAUCCCACAUCUCUGGAUUGCGUGCUGCUAUAUUUAGUAUUUUAUCUUUACUACCUCCUUCUUGUAGUUUAAUUGGUUCUUCUAUUGGCAUUCUCUUACCUGCUGGUCUUAUAUUAUCUCCUCUAAGUUUUGUAUCUGGGUUUAUCCCGACUGUUGGUCUACUAGGUACAUUACCUGUACUGUAAUCUAUUGGUUGAGGAUUCGAAUUCGUUUGUUGAAAUGGGCUAGCACUUGUUGAGCUAGUUGCUUCUAAUUCUGCUAGUUUUUUAUAACUCAUUAUAGAACUUAAUAUGGAUAUUGUAUCUCCGUCUUUCAUUUCAGAAAUUAAUUCCUCAUUUUAUCUAUAUCCUAGGUUAUCAUUUCUUUCUAAAUAAUUUUUGAAAUGUUCUAUACAUUCUUUUAUUUCCAUUUCAUUUUUCUGACAUACUUUUCAUUUAAAAGUUAUAUGUUUAUAUUCUUCCGCUAACAUUUGAGCUUUUUCUAUUACUAUGUCUACUUCAUAGCCUUCUUGUAAAAUUUCUACAUUCAUAAACUCCUGCUUUGUUUCUAUAGUACUUUCUGUUUCGGUGUCAUCUAAUUCCCUUCUAGUUGUAUAACUAUAAUCCGUAAAUCUCACAGAGGUUUUAUCUUUUCGUGUUUUAUAUAAUAGAUGAGAUUUUGGAGUGAAAGUUUUUGGUUUAUUAAACUUUUCUAUAUUCUAUUCGAUACCUGCAUACUCUUCUGGAUUUAUCUUUAUUGGUUUUAUUAAUUUUAUGCCUUUAUUUUCCAUUAAUUCUACUACAUCAGUAACUUUUAGUCUAAAUUUUGUAUUACUACUUAAGGCUAGUUUUCCUAUAAAUCCUAUACACAUUAUUAAAUUAUUACCACUAUUCAUUUCUUCUAUCCUUUGGUCUGGAUUCCUAUCUUAAUAUUUUUUUCAAACUCUUUUAAGUUAAUUAAAAAGUCUGGACUAAUAUAAAAUAUUCCUCCAUUAUUUAUCAUAUCAACUUUAGUUAAUCCUAUUAUUGAUUUUUUAAUAUCUGACCAUCUAUCAUCAUAUAUUACUAUUAAUACCUUGGAUCCUAAAUUCUAUCUAGUCCUUUUAUUCCUAUAACUAUUAAUCCCAUGUGCAUUAACAUCAUUCUAUGAUUUCUUAUUUGUUUUAACGAGUCGGUAUUGACUAAAUCUAAAAUUGUUAAAUUUUCUCCUAUAGCUGAUAUCUGUUCUUCUCUAUAAUAUCUAUAAAGUUGAUUAUCUUUUGAGAAAUAUCCUGCAUUAUAUAGUGUUUUAAAAUUUAAUAGUUUUAACUGGUGUUGUUGAAAAAUCUGUAAAUCCCUAUCUACAUCUAUUAUUUCAUUUAGUUCUUGAUUCUGUUCUAUAUUUGGUUGUCUUCUGAAUAUUCUAGAUACUAUAUUAUUAUUUGCUAAUCUAUUUUCAAAAAAACUUAUUCUUUGUCUUUCUUCUCUUUGUCUUUCUUUAUCUUCGAUGGUUCUUCGUCUAUUUGAUAGAAAGUCAAUUUUUGAGAUUUUCUAAUUAGAUUUUGUUUUUCUUGUCUAGGUGUUAUUUCUAUCCUUUUUAAUUGAUUAAUUAGUUGGUCUAUUUCAGUAUUUUUUGGUUCUUGAACCUCUUUUGCUUUUAUUAUAUUAUCUAUUUUAGCAUGUAAAUCUAAUAAUAAUGCUAUUAUAGUAUUAUUUUGUUUUAAAAUUAUUUUUUCUGACUGACCUAUCGAAAGGUGUACAGAAAGUCCUUCUGGUUCGUUGUGAAAAGUUUUUGAUGUGUCUAGGGCUUUCUUGUAAUUUAUAUCUUCUAUAUUUAUGAAAGUGAAAUUUCUUCUAAUCUUGUUGUUAAUACUUUUAGCUCACUAAUUUCUUUUGUUAUGAUUCCUAUUUGUUCUAGUAGUUUUGUUAUUAAUUGAGUAGUUUUGAUCUCUAAUUCUUUGGUUUUUUCUAUUAUAGUUUUUAUUAGCCUUUCAAUUUCUAUUUUUUUAGGUAUCUUUUCUAAAUUGAAUUUUUGAUUUAAAUACUGAAUUUUUCUAUCUAUUUCUAACUCUUGUGAUUUUAAAUAAUCUAAAUCUUCUUCUAUCCUUUCUAGUAUCUAUUUCUGUUUAGUUUGAAUAACUUUUGUUUCUUCUAAAAGUCUUAUGAUAUUAUUAUCUUUUUCUUGAAUUUUUUCUCUUGAAUUUAUUAUUAAGUCUAUUAUAGUAUUAUAUUAUUUUUCUUGUGAAUGUAAUAUGUGUUCUCAUUGAUUAAAAUUACUCCUUAUAGUAGUAUUAUCUUUUAACACUCUGUAUUUCUUUUCAGGUUGGAAUCUAAGAUCUAAAUAUUCAAGGCGUUUAAGUGAAGCUAUCUUGUUAUCCUGGAUGGUAAUAAGUAAUUGUAAGUUUGCUAACUUUAUUACGAUAUCCUAGUCUACUAUUAUAAUAUGUAAUCUCUAGUUCCACUUCUUUUAUAUUUUUUAUUAACCUUGUCUGUUCUUUAAUUAAUGAUUCUUUUAAAUAUUUUGAUGUUAUUUUAGCAAUUUUAUCUACUUCAGUAUCCGUAAGGACUAGAUUAUCAACUUGUCUUAUUUCGUGUUUUAUCCAAAAUAAUCUCUCUUUUAGAUCCUUUAAUAUCCUUCUAAGUUGAUUUUUAUAGUAUAAUUCUCCGUAUAGGUGACGUCGGGUUUCUUUAAUUUGUAAAACGUAUUUAAGUGGCAUACCCUAUCCUAAUGAAAUUUUAUUUACUUGUUGUAAAUAGUAAUUUAUCCUAUAACAAGUGUUUUCUUUUCUUACGUUAUUGAAAUCUAAUUCUUCAUUAGAAAUUCUAAGCAGAGUUUUUAAAUAUUUAACAUCUACUUUGUCUAUCUCUUCUUGAGUUAUUUUACCUUGUAUUUUUUCUAUAUUGUCUUUUAAUUUUAUUUCUUUUUCUCUUAAUUUAGAUCUAUGAUGACCCUCUUCUUCUAACCACUUAUUUAAUCUUCUUACUAUUUGGAAAAUAGGUAAAUCUUGCAUUUAAUUAUGUUAUCCUAAUUGGUAUGUGUAACGCCUCGGAAAAUGGGUCCCGGAGCGUCACACGGUGCUUG